GGGGAUUGCCUAUUUAGCAUGACGCUGCAUGAAUCAGAUCAUUACGUAGUUUAGGAAUACCGGGAACAGAGUAAAUAAACUAACUCUUUUUUUUAUUUACUUUUAUAAAAUUCAGACCAUGAAAGCUUUUAGAAAAAGAAAAAAAAAUAUUUUUUUGAAUAUUUUUCUUUUUGGAAUUUUCGAAAGAAAGACAUAAAAGAAGAAAGAAAAUAUUUUUUGAUUUUGAUUUUUUUUGAAAUGUCUGAAAGAAAGACUUCUAAAGAAGCAAAAAAAUAUUUUUUGGAUUUUGAUUUGAAUUAUUUUUUUUAUUUGAAUUUCUAAGAGAAAGAUUUCUAAAGAAUGAAAAAACAUAUAUUUUUGGAUUUUUGAUUUGAUUUUUUUCUUUUUUCGGAUGAAAGACUACUACAAAGAAAGAAUUUCUAUUUUUCUGAGUUUUCUUUAUAAUUUCCGAAAGAAAACUUCUGAAGAAAAAAGAAAAUAUUUUUGGACUUUAACUUUUCAAUUUUAAUGACAUUUGCGAAAGACGACUUUUAAAGAAUAAAAAAAAAUUGAUUUUUGUUUCUUAUUUUUUUUAACUUUUUGGGAAAAUACUUCAAAAUAAAGAAAACCAGUAUUUUUUAUUUUGAUUUUAUUUUAUUUUAUUUUGAUUUUUUUUCAUAUGAAAGACUUCGAAAAGAAGGAAAAUAUUUUUGCUUUUAAAAUCUUUUUUUUUUAAUUUUUUUAAGGAAAAACUUCUAAAGAAGGAAUUAAAGGAAAAUAUUUUUUGUUUUUUUUUUAAAAUUGGGCCCGGAACCGAUGUGGUUUGCCUACGUAUCUCACAUCCGGUGAGAAUCAGACCCAUGUAGUUCGACCAGUUUUAACGGAACAGGGAAAACAUGAUGUCUUGAAAACAUUGGCUUAUUGUGAAAUGACCUUUUCUCUCUCUCUCUCUCUUCAUAAUUUCGGUAGAGUUUCGAAAAUUUUCAAAUACCUACAUCUUACUCUUGUUUUUUUUUGGUUUUCUUUUCCCUUUUUUUAAAAAUUUUCUUUUCCUAUUCUAUAAGCCAGUCAACAUGCAAGCCGAAACAAACAGAUGUGCAAGUAGCACAUAAAAUGCAUCAGGAUGGUCUUUUAAUUUGGGUACACUUGUCCUAAACGGACCCAACCCCUGUGUUGAGUCCCCAAAGUCAGAUGCACAUGAUGCAAACAAACGUUCCUACUAGGGAUCCAACAAGAGGCUAUGUUAUUCUAUGUUUAAAACAUGAGUGUAUUGUUCUAGACCUGGCUUACCCGAGUGGACAACUCGAGCCGAGGGGGAGGGGACAACGUACCGGUAACCAAAAGGUCAUCCGGCUUUGCAACUUGUCCGAUCCUCGUUCUAAAUUAGAGUAUGACACUAACAAAAAAAAGUCACGCUAGCGUGCAGUUCCCAGAAGAUUUAGAAGACUCAAAGAGAAGAAGGGUUUCGUAACAGUUUUAUAUACAGUUCACAGAAUUUCAAAGCGUUAAAAGCGGCAAUUAACACAUUAAGCUCAAACACGUAAAAAUCAAAUAAUAAACAAAAGCCAAGUAUCACAGUUAUUCUAAGCUCGAAUUCUGAACCCUGAACCAUAGAUUCUGGGUUCGAUCCCCAGCGGAGUCGCCAUGGAAUUAUUUAUUUAAUUUCAGAGUCGCCACUUGGAAUAAUUUAUGGUGUCCCAAGUCAUCGGUUUAUUUUAAAAUCCCAAAUCGAGAAAAUUGACUCUUAUUAUGGUCCACGAAAAUAGAAGACUAGGUAAGUAAUUAUGUUUACCCGGGAGGAGGUGUGCGGCACUCCCGAAUUUUGUGAUUUUAGCACGUUCGCUCAACUAUUAAUAAUUGGCCUAAUUAUCUGAUUUAUUACAUGUUUUAAACCUAUUGUGCAUUUUUAACUUUAUAAUCGCUUUUAUUUAUUUAUGGAGUUUGUUUGAAGAAGUCGCGAUGUCGCACACUCGUUUGUUUUUUUACACAUUUCGAUUCGCGUCAUGGGAACCGUACCCACGAUCUACAACAUGUUUAUUUUAUUUUUGUUUGAAGUUAUGGUCGGGUCACAUGAAAUGUGCACCCGAGUUGGGAUUAUGUAUCAUGACUAUGCCACGGGAACCGUACCCAUAGCCGUGAUGAUUUAAUUACGCGUCUAAAGAAAACUACGGAUGUUCAUUAAUUAUUAUGAUUUGGAGUUAUAGUCGUGUCGCAUGAAAUGCGUACUCGAAUUGGGAUUAUGUAUCAUGACUAUGCCACGAAAAUAGUACCCAUAGUCACAAUUUAUUAUUAAUCACGUAUAAAGCAACUAGCGAUAUAUAGUUAUGUGUUCAAUUGUUUGAGAUCAUGUACUGGGGGUCUAUAGCUAAGGAAUCAAUGUUGGGAUAAAUUAUAGAUAAGGUAAUGACAGGGGAAUUCCGAGUCAUGGAAGUUUGAAUUAAUUACCCAAGUACAUACCAAUAGAAUAAAUUGAUGGAUAAAACUAGAUCACAAUCUAACUUUUGAGGAAGUUCGCAUGCAUAACCGAAAAUGAAUUAAUCCGAUGCUUUUAACAAAACCUUCAAACGGUCCAAAUGAAUGGAAUGGGUUAAAGGCAAAGCCCAAUAACUUGAGGCCUGAGGACUACUGAGGUCUACAACAUACUUCAAUAACCAAUUUCAUCAAGCACAUAACACCAAUUUGCAAACUACAUAUUUAACAAAUAAAAAACCCCUGACAGAGUAUUGAAAUGAAUAUAUAUAUGCAGAUUUCAUAGCAAUACAAUAUCCAGCAGUAAUCAUUUAAACUGCAAACAUACCUCGGACAACAGCAAAACAAUCCACAAUUAGCCAAAUAAAGAUACAGAUGAAGAUGCACAGAGCUAAACGAAGUAGAAGCAGCAAUCUCUGCAACAAAUGAUCUUUUAACAGCUUGAUUUAAACUUGAAAAUCCUAGGGAUUACAUAGCAGAUCAGCUAAGAGAAGCAGCUUGUGAAAUCAUUCGCCCAAACUACCUACCUCUUUUUCAUGUAUUUCAAAAUUGCGGAGUUUUUCUCCGAACAACAGUGAGGACAUAAAGAGUUUCUCGAAUUAAAAUUUUUUUUUGGCCAGAUCUUCAACAAAUCGCCGGAUUCAACGUAACUUCUGGCCAGAUCCGAGACUCGUCACAAAUGGGGGAAGAGACGACGAGGAGGAGAAAUAUUGAGGUGGAGUAUUGGAGGGGGUGGAGGCUUAGAGAUGGAGCUGCUAGGUUUGAAGAAAUGAAGAAGGAGGGGGGAAGGUGGCGGCUCACCUAGGUUAGGGAAUUAGGGGAGGGUCUAAUGAUAGGGAAGGGGAAUAGAGGGGCGGUUUGGGUUUAUUCAUGGGGGAGGGGAUCUGAUGAUUUUUUAGGGUGUUGAAAAAUGGGGGUUUUAAAGAGGGGAGAAGAUCCGGUUGGGCCAAUUAAG
rnacentral:lncRNA from 1 species